UCCAUCAUGGUUCUAUGAAAGCAGAGACUGAACCAAGGACUUUGUGGGAAAGGCAAACACACUGCCUGCCAUCUGAGCUAUCCCCCAGCAUCCAUUUCUUACCCUGGCCUACUUCAGGACAAGGAAGAAACGCUGGAAGUGAUGGCAGGACGGUAGAAAAGGCAAAGCUGGCAGCCCAAUGAAAAAUCCGACUACACACAACCGUUUUGCACCAUGAAGGACAAAGCACAAGGCUGUGUGAAGAUUCUUCUUUCCUGUCCCUCCUUCGUGCUGCCUCCACAGGCCAUGGCUUGCCCCGGAGAAAGCCCCUGAGAAGUAAAAGGCCACCAAGGCAGCUAGAAACUGAGAGCAAGCACGGAAAGACAAGCCCCAGCAGACCGUCGGGUGAGAUUUGAGGAAGUAAAUUGCAGAAACGAAGCUGUGAAGGUGGGGAAGCUGAGAGACUUCUGGUGUACACUAUGACCGCACUGAAGCUUCUGCAGGAGUCCAGCUACUACACAGAGAAAAAAAAAAAAAACCUGCGGCCACCCAACUCGGUUCUCAGAACACAAAGAAUAACAAUCUUGAUACUUUGAUACUUUGCCAUCCCAACUCCCUUCCAGUAAACUGCCACACACAGGGUGGAGUGAAGGCUGCAUGCUCCUUUGGCUUUGGCAAUAGUAAAUUUGGAACUUCUUAUCAAAAGUUACACAGAGCCGGGCGGUGGUGGCACACGCCUUUAAUCCCAGCACUCGGGAGGCAGAGGCAGGCGGAUCUCUGGGA